CUUAGUAAAAUCAGUUCCCCCUUUAUAUUCCAGCAACUAAACACCAACCACCAACCCAAUACACGCCCAGCAGGCAAUUUCCCCUCAACUGCCAGCCCUUAUUGUCAAUAACUGCUAAACCAACCAAGUGACACUGGCCCCCCUUUAUACUCUUCUUCUGCUUCACUUCCUGUCUCUAUUGUUCCUCCUUCCAGUUCUCUAUGGUUUCUCCUUCCUGUCACUGUGGACUGGUUAAUCACUACACAUCUCUAUGGUAAGAGGACCUCCAGGUUCCCCACUAUAUUAAAAAAGGAGUAAAGAAUUCCUUUUUUACAGAUGGAAGCAAAAGUACUUCAAAAAUUCUGGAGAUUCAAGUGGACUGAAUGAACAUCCUGGCAUGCCCCUCGGUUUACUUGAUGGUUGUCAAAGCACAAAUCAGGCAAAAAAGGUUCUGGCCUCCAAAUCUUUCAAGACAACAACCAUAUCCCAGCCCCAACUAUUCUCUUUUUCAGGCUAAGCCUUAUUUUCCUAAAUCAAUACUCAUAAGUGGACCUCCUGCUUGGCAUCUUUAAAUACAAAUCAGUUUAUCAAUGACCUUCUCAAAAAUAACACCCAGGACUGGACUCAAUACUCCAGGUGUCAUAUGCUGAGGGCAGAGAACAGCAGGACUUUCAUUUCUCUUCUGAUCACCAAACCUUCCAUCUUUUAGCUUGAGAAAAACUUUCUCAGAAGUAAAAUUACAUUCUUGAUGGCUAUAAGAGUUAUAUUAAUCACAAUACCUUCAGCCUUUUUCUUAUGAGUAAACCCUUCCUUUGAAUCCUAUCUUCAAUUCUUGUCAUUUUUUAAAAUCAAAAACAUAUUUACUUAUACUAAUUGUCACCAUCUACCUAUUGACUCACUGUUUCAGCCCGCUGGAAUAUUGUGAGAUGAUAAUUUGGCCAUACAAUAUGGAGAGCUUGUCGUGUCCUCCUAGGGCAGCUCUCCAGCCUCUGACCCUCACCUGACACCCAGCUCUCACUUGUGGCUCCCAGUAGCUGCUAGCAUGCGGCAGUGGCCACACCCCGGGCAACGGCUUCAACAGGCCGGCUAAACCUUGUGAGGGUAGCCAUCGGGUCAUCGACCCCUGGUGAACCAGGGCUUUACUCAGCCAGCAUGUGA
rnacentral:lncRNA from 1 species